rnacentral:rRNA from 1 species
GGAAUAUUGGUCAAUGGGCGCAAGCCUGAACCCGCCAUGCCGCGUGCAGGAAGACGGCCCUCUGGGUUGUAAACUGCUUUUGUACGGGAAGAAACCCCCUUUCGUGCAAGGGAUUGACGGUACCGUAAGAAUACGGAUCGGCUAACUACGUGCCAGCAGCCGCGGUAAUACGGAGGAUCCAAGCGUUGUCCGGAUUUAUUGGGUUUAAAGGGUGCGUAGGCGGGCCAUUAAGUCAGGGGUGAAAGCCUACAGCUCAACUGUAGAAUUGCCUUUGAAACUGGUGGCCUUGAGUUUGGUUGAGGUAGCUGGAAUGUAUCAUGUAGCGGUGAAAUGCUUAGAUAUGAUACAGAACACCGAUUGCGAAGGCAGGUUACUAAGCCAAAACUGACGCUGAGGCACGAAAGCGUGGGGAGCAAAC